rnacentral:rRNA from 1 species
UACGUAGGGGGCGAGCGUUGUCCGGAAUCAUUGGGCGUAAAGAGCUCGUAGGCGGUUCAGCAAGUCGGCUGUGAAAUUCCGAGGCUCAACCUCGGAGCUGCAGUCGAUACUGCUGUGACUCGAGUCCGGUAGAGGAGAAUGGAAUUCCCGGUGUAGCGGUGAAAUGCGCAGAUAUCGGGAGGAACACCAGUAGCGAAGGCGGUUCUCUGGGCCGGUACUGACGCUGAGGAGCGAAAGCGUGGGGAGCAAACAGG